CGAUCAAGUUGGGCAAUUGCUCUCCCGCUUUAGCGGGAGGGAGGAAAGUCCGAACUCCACAGAGCAAAGUGCCGGAUAACGUCCGGGCAUUAAUUUAUUGAUGACGGAAAGUACCACAGAAAAUAUACCACUCCGAUGCAAAUCGGGGAAAGGGUGAAAUGGCAGGGUAAGAGCCUACCGCUCUAAAAGUAAUUUUAGAGGUUCCUAAAAAGGAAGUGGCGUUUCAGCGCCAUCAGGGCAAACCCCACUUGGAGAAAGGUCAAAUAGGAAAGUUCCCCGCCACGGCGGGGCAAAGCUGCUCGCUUUGAUUAGCUUUCGGGUAGACCGACAGAGGGUUGAAGUAAUUCAACUCCCAGACAAAUAAUUGCCGUUCUGACUUGCCUGCUGACGUCAGACAGGUCGGGAUUACAAAAUUCGGCUUAUAGACUUGAUCGUCUU
rfam:Ignavibacteria bacterium CG1_02_37_35 cg1_0.2_scaffold_1144_c, whole genome shotgun sequence.